CAACAUCUCUUUUCCUCCCCCAUAUCCUCCUCCGUCCUCGUCUCCCGCGACAUGUCCACUUCAUCUUCAUCAUCUCUCCCCGUCCCGGCGGACUGGUUGCUACCCCUGAUGGCAUGUCCACUCUGCGGCCACGAGUUAGUGACAGCCGUCGCAAGGAGUGGAACAACGUUGGGCACCGAUUCUACAAGUGCAUCCGCUACGAUUCAAGGCAGUGCCGUUUCUUCGAGUUCCAGCGUGCGUACAACAUGAGGAUGACUCAUGAGCAGAUCCUGGCUGUGCAGCACCAGGCCGGAUGGCACCCACCCGGGUUUGGAUUCGCGCCCUAGCAGGGAAAUGGUCCUUCUCAGAUGGUUCGUGCUGCCAUCCAACCCCAGAUCCAGGCGCAGUUGCAGCCGCAGAUGCAGCCUCAGAUCCAGUCUCCGAUGCAGCAGCUUCCCCCGGCGGGCAACAAUAUGAUAGCUGACGCCGGAGUCGGAGCAGCAUAUGGAGCACAAGGCCUAGGUGCAGUCGCUGUUCUUAUGGCUGCAGUGAACAUCAUGCUAACUGUUGUCCUGUUGAUGGUUGUGUUAGCUAAGUAAUCUCCGUAGGUAUUCUAGGGCACUCCUUUAUUAAUAGCGCUAUGCAAGUUCUAACUAUUUUAGUGUAACCAAUGGUGGCUCCCUUUACCGCUCAGCCUAUUUGAGACGACGACCCAGGUUUUGAGCUGUUGUGCUAUUCGACAACCAACUAUGUAAUGCUUUAUCAGACCUUCAUUAAGCUCCCGUUUUUUAUUAUUUUGCUGGGUUCAGAUUGUAUGAAUUUUUACAUCUCCCCCUAUGCAACGGGGUUAGUUGAGCUAACUCUCUCA